GUUGGUUUAGCAACCAGGCCUAUAUAUACGUAUCUCCUUUAUCCUUCUUGCUUUCAAGCGCAGCGUUCGUGAUGUUGAGUCGGAUCGGAUCUCUAACCCAACAGCUUUGUUGUCGUUGUGUAUGUAGUACUCUUAUAAUUAUGAGUGCAAACUAAUCACGUAGUUUCUUUAUUUCUUGCUAAUCUGUCUUGAUUCUUUUCUUACUAAGAUUACACGGUAGCAAGCUUUUGCGGCACUGCGGAUCUGUUCCGACGGCGAACGCUCAACUCUUUGAAUUCUUUUACGAGUAUGUUGCUAUACUUUGUUUUGGCUUCCGAUCUUAGUGUAGUAAUUGUCUAAUUUCGUUUCUUUCUCUUUUUAGUCGUCAGAGGGCAUCAAUAGUUAGCACGAUUUGGCGAUCGCGCCAGACUAUUUACAUAUAUUUUUUUGUUUGCUGCGUAUGGUUUCAUGAUUGGCAUGCCGGCAAGCGUCUACAUGAUCUUGGUCCGUCGUACAACCAUGAGAACUGAUGUGAUUUUUCAUUAGAGUUAAGAUACGUUAUCAUAUCCGAUCUAUAUUUCUUGCUAGCAAUAUUUACGGUGAUCUCGUGUUUACUUCACACACCGAUAAGCUAAUCACAGCCUGGUGCAGAACGGAUCGCUCUCUAUCUGGCUGUUAUACAUCUUGUUUCUCCAGAAGAUACAA